UAAGGUGGAGGAGGACAAAGCAAGAAUCUCCGAUCAACUUUUAGAUGGUCGUAGUCAAACAGAGUUUUCUGAUGCAUUUAAAAGUGAGGAAGCGAGGGAAGAUGUGCAUGUGGUGUCUUCGGCAAAAGAUUUACCUGCAUCAGACAACCCUGAACUCUUGCUUAAAGACUUCAAAGACUACAAUAAGUUCAAAUCUACUUUGCCAUUGGAUCUUGGCUCUUCUGAACCUGAACCUCUUUCUACUGAUGGCGACUCUUCAAAGAAUUCGCUUCCUUCAGGUUCACCAACCGACCACUCAGAUAUGGACACCAUUAUUUCAUCUGUUCAGGAAGAAGCCAAGCAAGCAAUAAAAGUUGAUGAUCCUGUAAUUGAAAGGACAGAAACAACUUUUAGUAGGUUCCCCAACCGACCACUCAAACGGAGUUUAUGGUGGUAGUCAAACGGAGUUUUCGGAUGCAUCUAAAACUGAGGAAGCGAGGGAAGAUGUGCAUGUGGUGUCAUUGGCAAAAGAUUUACCUGCAUCAGACAACCCUGAACUCUUGCUUAAAGACUUCAAAGACUACAAUAAGUCCAAAUCUACUUUGCCAUUGGAUCUUGGCUCUUCUGAACCUGAACCUCUUUCUACUGAUGGCGACCCUUCAAAGAAUUCGCUUCCUUCAGGUUCCCCAACCGACCACUCAAACGGAGUUUAUGGUGGUAGUCAAACGGAGUUUUCUGAUGCAUCUAAAACUGAGGAACCGAGGGAAGAUGUGCAUGUGGUGUCGUUGGCAAAAGAUUUACCUGCAUCAGACAACCCUGAACUCUUGCUUAAAGACUUCAAAGACUACAAUAAGCUCAAAUCUACUUUGCCAUUGGAUCUUGGCUCUUCUGAACCUGAACCUCUUUCUACUGAUGGCGACCCUUCAAAGAAUUCGCUUCCUUCAGGUUCCCCAACCGACCACUCAGAUAUGGACACCAUUAUUUCAUCUGUUCAGGAAGAAGCCAAGCAAGCAAUAAAAGUUGAUGAUCCUGUAAUUGAA
rnacentral:lncRNA from 1 species